rnacentral:rRNA from 1 species
AGAACGAACGCUGGCGGCAUGCCUAACACAUGCAAGUCGAACGAGACCUUCGGGUCUAGUGGCGCACGGGUGCGUAACGCGUGGGAACCUGCCCUUAGGUUCGGAAUAACAGUUAGAAAUGACUGCUAAUACCGGAUAAUGUCUUCGGACCAAAGAUUUAUUGCCUAGGGAUGAGCCCGCGUAAGAUUAGCUAGUUGGUGGGGUAAAAGCCUACCAAGGCGACGAUCUUUAGCUGGUCUGAGAGGAUGAUCAGCCACACUGGGACUGAGACACGGCCCAGACUCCUACGGGAGGCAGCAGUGGGGAAUAUUGGACAAUGGGCGAAAGCCUGAUCCAGCAAUGCCGCGUGAGUGAUGAAGGCCUUAGGGUGUAAAGCUCUUUACCGGGAUGAUAAUGACAGUACCGGAGAAUAAGCCCGCUAACUCCGUGCCAGCAGCCGC